UCAUUCUCUGUCUCUCUCUCUUUCUCCCCUGUGCCAGUGAAGGGCCUCUCCCCUCGUGGACAGCUGUCUGCUCUUCCUCUUGCUCCUCCUCCUCCUCGCCCAGCCGAGCUCCCCUCUCUCUCCCUCAGACAGUCCCUUCAGAGAAGUCUGCUUCCCAGGGCCCUGCAGCAGAGACAGAUGCCUGAAGAGGAGAUUGAGCAGAAUGGGCAGAGCCGCGGCCAGGCUGUCCCGAAGCCCGUGUGUGUGAACGGCACAGAGGCGGGGCAGUUAAACAGCAAAUCAAAACAGGAGCGGCGGACGAGCUCCACCUCCUCCAACCCCUCCCGCAAGGGGGUGUCCACCACCAGCAAGAUCCGCAAGCUAUCCACCUGCAAGCAGCAGUGAGGCACUGGAGACUGACGCACUGUACCGGCUUUUUUUUUUUUUUUUUUUUUUAAACUUGGGGGAUUAUUAG